AGAGCAUCAGGGCCGAUUCAGCAGAACACAAUUUGGGAAGCAUGAGAACAGGGCAGCACCAAGAGGCCUAGUCGAGCUUUUCCCUGCCCAGCUGACCCUCCAGGACUUCAAACACUGACUGGUACUCAGAUGUCUAUUUCCAGCCUGCCCUCUCUGUCAGGGUUUAUACUUUUACCAGGGAGGGCUCUUCCUGGAUUUAUCACUUGACUGCUGCCUUCCAGGAGGCUCACCUGCAACUUCUCUGGAGUGAAAGGGACAGAACAUGCCGUUCUGGCGCUCGCCGUGCAGGAGCCCUGUCCAAUCUCUUGCUCUUCCAAUCGGACCUCUGUCCCCUCCAGUGGAUUCAGCAGUGCUUUUUAAAAGGGGAUCCAGCGCUGUCACCUGCCCGAUCUUGAUCAGCUAUUACGGGUCAGCACUGGUUGCCAGAAUGCAAAAUAAAUGGCAGGAAGGAAAUUAACAGCAGGGCAAACUACACACCUUGAUGCGUCUCUUCCACACAGCUGGUUCUGGAGCCUCCAUUGGUGGAGAACACGCAUGUAGAAACCACUUUCUAC